rnacentral:rRNA from 1 species
AGCAGUCGCCGCGGUAAUACGUAGGGUGCAAGCGUUAAUCGGAAUUACUGGGCGUAAAGCGUGCGCAGGCGGUUAUAUAAGACAGAUGUGAAAUCCCCGGGCUCAACCUGGGAACUGCAUUUGUGACUGUAUAGCUAGAGUACGGCAGAGGGGGAUGGAAUUCCGCGUGUAGCAGUGAAAUGCGUAGAUAUGCGGAGGAACACCGAUGGCGAAGGCAAUCCCCUGGGCCUGUACUGACGCUCAUGCACGAAAGCGUGGGGAGCAAACAGGAUUAGAUACCCCAGUAGUCCCUGUCUCUUAUAA